rnacentral:rRNA from 1 species
CCUACGGGGGACAGCAGUGAGGAAUAUUGGUCAAUGGGCGAGAGCCUGAACCAGCCAAGUCGCGUGAAGGAUGACGGCCCUACGGGUUGUAAACUUCUUUUGUCAGGGAGCAAUUGAGUCCACGUGUGGUCUUAGCGAGAGUACCUGAAGAAAAAGCAUCGGCUAACUCCGUGCCAGCAGCCGCGGUAAUACGGAGGAUGCGAGCGUUAUCCGGAUUUAUUGGGUUUAAAGGGUGCGUAGGCGGGCUGUUAAGUCAGCGGUAAAAGCCCGGGGCUCAACCCCGGCGAGCCGUUGAAACUGGCUGUCUUGAGAUGUCGAGAGGUAUGCGGAAUUCGUGGUGUAGCGGUGAAAUGCUUAGAUAUCACGAAGAACCCCGAUUGCGAAGGCAGCUUACUAAACUGUGACUGACAUUGAUGCUCGAAAGUGUGGGUAUCAAACAGGAUUAGAUACCCGAGUAGUC